rnacentral:misc_RNA from 1 species
GAUGAAGAACGCAGCGAAAUGCGAUACGUAGUGUGAAUUGCAGAAUUCAGUGAAUCAUCGAAUCUUUGAACGCACAUUGCACCUCUCGGUAUUCCGGGAGGUAUGCCUGUUCGAGCGUCAUUUGUACCCUCAAGCUCUGCUUGGUGUUGGGUGUUUGUUCCGCCUCUGUGUGUGAACUCGCCUCAAAACAAUUGGCAGCCGGCGUACUUGUUUCGGAGCGCAGCACAUUUUGCGAUCCAGAUCAACGUACAGCGGCAUCCAAGAAGCCUUAUUUAACGCUCUCGCCCUCGGAUCAGGUAGGGAUACCCGCUGAACUUAAGCAUAUCAAUACGCGGAGGA